AGUGAACGCUGGCGGUAGGCCUAACACAUGCAAGUCGAACGGCAGCACAGUAAGGGCUUGCUCUUACGGGUGGCGAGUGGCGGACGGGUGAGGAAUACAUCGGAAUCUACUUUUUCGUGGGGGAUAACGUAGGGAAACUUACGCUAAUACCGCAUACGACCUACGGGUGAAAGCAGGGGAUCUUCGGACCUUGCGCGAUUGAAUGAGCCGAUGUCGGAUUAGCUAGUUGGCGGGGUAAAGGCCCACCAAGGCGACGAUCCGUAGCUGGUCUGAGAGGAUGAUCAGCCACACUGGAACUGAGACACGGUCCAGACUCCUACGGGAGGCAGCAGUGGGGAAUAUUGGACAAUGGGCGCAAGCCUGAUCCAGCCAUACCGCGUGGGUGAAGAAGGCCUUCGGGUUGUAAAGCCCUUUUGUUGGGAAAGAAAAGCAGCAGGUUAAUACCCCGCUGUUCCGACGGUACCCAAAGAAUAAGCACCGGCUAACUUCGUG
rnacentral:rRNA from 1 species